rnacentral:rRNA from 1 species
UACAGAGGUCUCAAGCGUUUGUUCGGAUUCAUUGGGCGUAAAGGGUGUGUAGGUGGCGCGCUAAGUCGGGGUGUGAAAUUUCGGGAGCUUAACUCCGAAACUGCAUUCGAUACUGGCCGUGCUUGAGGACUGGAGAGGAGACUGGAAUUUACGGUGUAGCGGUGAAAUGCGUAGAUAUCGUAAGGAAGACCAGUGGCGAAGGCGGGUCUCUGGACCGCAACUGACGCUGAGGCGACGAAAGCGUGGGGAGCAAACAGG